GGUUCUUAAUAUUCUACACAGCAAACCUGCAUGAAGCCACAUUAGUUAGUAACCACAGAACUGGUUUUGGAUCCUGGAAUUAAAGCAUUAAUAUCAAAGUUAAUGACAGCAACAAUGAGAUGCACAGGUGAAGAUGAAAACCACGCUUGGCUUGUGCUGCCACCAGCUGGGAAGGAUGUGUCAGUGGAAUGGAUGCAGCUAAUCUUUCUUCAAGUCCCUGGAUUCAAAGAGCUUCAAGCGCUCCUGCACCGUCAGGCCUUCCUUCAGACUCUGGUGGAGACAGAGAGGAAGGAGCAGUUAGGUGUUGGUGCAGCAGGCGUAGUGGGCUUCAGUAGCAGGUGCAGGCGAGGGAUCCUGAGAUUAGUGGGCAUGCGAGGGCAGAAGCCCUGAGAGAAUCCCUGGAGAAGUAGUGUGACUGGGAUUUGCUUUUUCCUGUAAAAAUGUACUUGGGUGAGAAAGGGGAAAAUAAUAAAGAGAAACAAGACCAUGUGUCAUAGCUC
ensembl:antisense Gm12264 predicted gene 12264